CGGGGCGUGGCGCAGCCUGGUAGCGCACUUGCAUGGGGUGCAAGGGGUCGUGAGUUCGAAUCCCACCGCUCCGACCA
rnacentral:tRNA from 1 species